CACAAAUUAUGUCAGAUGCCGUACAACCUUGUUAACUUUAUUUCCCAUAACAAUUGAUAAUAGUGAUAGGACAGAGAGAAGAAAGGAAAAGUCAGAAUCCCUAAGCAAGCAAAUGGUAGAGAUGCAGCAAGAUCAGUUACCACCACCACGAAUCCAGCAAUGUCCCAUUGGCUUGGUUUCAGUGCAGGUGAUGGUUGCUCCAAGCCCCAAGCUAUGCCAAAGUCCCAGCUCUGAGUGAUGAUUUCAAGAUAAAGGUCAAGAAGAUCAAGAUUUAGAUCAAGAUUUCCUAGAGAGGAGUACGCAGGCUUUUAUUGCCCUCGUCCUCAUGAUUGCUCUGAAGAGUCUGCCCAUUUCCACGGAGCUCAUUGUCAUACGUGCUGCCCCGUGUUCCUCCAUGAGCGCAUGCCCAGGUGUUGACAGUGGUCGUGCUUAAGGAGGGGGGGUU